ACAAGACCAGCUAGACACAGUGGCACACACCUUUAAUUCCAGCACUUGGGAGGCAGAGGCAGAAGGAUCUCUGUAAGUUCAAGGCCAGCCUGUUCUACAUGAGUCAGCGCCCUCAAGGACUGGAUGUUCAGAUGGCUGGGGAGGGCUUGUGUAGUGUGACAGAAAUGGCGAUGAACGGAAACAGAGGAAAGUCAACUGCAUUCUGAAGCUGAAGAGCAUGAGGGGUCUUUGAGUCAUCCAGAGAGAUGCUACCAACAGUCAGAGGUCUGGAGCUCCUAAGAGGCCUUAGCUGAGUAAUUGAGAAUCCAGGGCCUUUGACAUGCCAGACAAGUACUCUACCACUGAUCUACAUCCUCCACCCAAGACUUUAGCUGCUGAAAGUUACUUCAGUAAGAAGACUAAACUAUUGAGGAAUUCGUCAUCGCAAUAAGGGCUUGAUGCUGUGUGACUCACAGGGGUCCUGAAUGUUACAGCAAGAGAAAGUGAGAAGGAGGCGGUCAUCCACUGCUGACACUAAAACCAGCAUUUCUUGGAAAGAAAGAACCAAAGUCUAAACCUCAUUAUCUGCCCAUUAUUUCCCUUUAGGAAUGUGUCUGGACUUCUAUGAACCUCCAUUUUCCCAACAGUAAAAUGAGACAGGCAACGUCCAAUUCAUAGAGUUCUGGGAAGGAUCAAAUGAGAUGAAGUGUGUCAGAGCCUCAGGGUACAGAGGGGGCCCAAAGAUAAGAGCCAUUGGGCUCAGUUCUUCUCCUGACAAGUAAUUCACCAGCGGUCAUAGGCUGGUUGGAGCUGGAUGGGUACAGAAGCAGCUCUGAGGUAAGCAUAGUAGGGAAAUCCUUCUGCUUCUAAGCUGUCUAAGCUUUAUGGAGUCCUUAGUUUCCAUCUCAACUACAGGAACCUUUUAAUGCCUCUAUUUCCUGCUCAACUCCUCCAUCCCUGACUCUGUCUUUAAUGAUUAUUCUGAGAAGAAUUUAUGAGGCCGUACCUCCUGUUCUCACGACACACAGACAGGGUACCCUGUCUCCAACACCACACACGAGACACAGUCCCUCAUCCUGAGAAUGUUUCUAUAACAGCACUUGUGGGGGUCGACCUGGUUCUCAGUCCACCUUCCAGCUCAAGAUGAGCCCUCAUGGUGAAGAGCUUUGUGCCUUCCUUCGCAUCACAGACAGCAAGGAUGUUGAGGAGAAUCCCCGAGUUCGGGAUAAUGAAGAAUGACGACUGUUACCUGCCUCUCUAGCAGAGGGUUUCUCCAGCAACCAAUAUGGUAGACCAAAAAACUCUGGGAGCUGUCCAGCGUUCUGACUCACACCAGUGCUCAGUAAUCCAGAUCCCAUCUCUAACAAUCCCUGUCUUAUUGUGUUAUUUAUUUGAUUGA